AGAGUUUGAUCCUGGCUCAGGAUGAACGCUGGCGGCGUGCUUAACACAUGCAAGUCGAACGAAGCACUUUAAUUGAUUUCUUCGGAAUGAAGUUUUUGUGACUGAGUGGCGGGCGGGUGAGUAACGCGUGGGUAACCUGCCUCAUACAGGGGGAUAACAGUUGGAAACGACUGCUAAUACCGCAUAAGCGCACAGGAUUGCAUGAUCCAGUGUGAAAAACUCCGGUGGUAUGAGAUGGACCCGCGUCUGAUUAGCCAGUUGGCGGGGUAACGGCCCACCAAAGCGACGAUCAGUAGCCGACCUGAGAGGGUGACCGGCCACAUUGGGACUGAGACACGGCCCAAACUCCUACGGGAGGCAGCAGUGGGGAAUAUUGCACAAUGGGGGAAACCCUGAUGUAGCGACGCCGCGUGAGCGAAGAAGUAUUUCGGUAUGUAAAGCUCUAUCAGCAGGGAAGAAGAAUGACGGUACCUGACUAAGAAGCACCGGCUAAAUACGUGCCAGCAGCCGCGGUAAUACGUAUGGUGCAAGCGUUAUCCGGAUUUACUGGGUGUAAAGGGAGCGCAGGCGGUACGGCAAGUCUGAUGUGAAAUCCCGGGGCUCAACCCCGGUACUGCAUUGGAAACUGUCGGACUAGAGUGUCGGAGGGGUAAGUGGAAUUCCUAGUGUAGCGGUGAAAUGCGUAGAUAUUAGGAGGAACACCAGUGGCGAAGGCGGCUUACUGGACGAUUACUGACGCUGAAGCUCGAAAGUGCGGGUAUCGAACAGGAUUAGAUACCCUGGUAGUCCGCACGGUAAACGAUGGAUGCCCGCUGUUGGUCUGAACAGGUCAGCGGCCAAGCGAAAGCAUUAAGCAUCCCACCUGGGGAGUACGCCGGCAACGGUGAAACUCAAAGGAAUUGACGGGGGCCCGCACAAGCGGAGGAACAUGUGGUUUAAUUCGAUGAUACGCGAGGAACCUUACCCGGGCUUGAAUUGCAGAGGAAGGAUUUGGAGACAAUGACGCCCUUCGGGGUCUCUGUGAAGGUGCUGCAUGGUUGUCGUCAGCUCGUGCCGUGAGGUGUCGGCUUAAGUGCCAUAACGAGCGCAACCCCUCUCCUUAGUUGCCAUCAGGUUAAGCUGGGCACUCUGGGGACACUGCCACCGUAAGGUGUGAGGAAGGUGGGGAUGACGUCAAAUCAGCACGGCCCUUACGUCCGGGGCUACACACGUGUUACAAUGGCAGGUACAGAGAGACGGUCCCUUGCAAGACGGAUCAAAUCCUUAAAGCCUGUCUCAGUUCGGACUGGGGUCUGCAACCCGACCCCACGAAGCUGGAUUCGCUAGUAAUCGCGCAUCAGCCAUGGCGCGGUGAAUACGUUCCCGGGCCUUGUACACACCGCCCGUCAAGCCAUGAAAGCCGGGGGCGCCUAAAGUCCGUGACCGUAAGGAGCGGCCUAGGGCGAAACUGGUAAUUGGGGCUAAGUCGUAACAAGGUA
rnacentral:rRNA from 1 species